UACGGAGGAUGCAAGCGUUAUCCGGAUUUAUUGGGUUUAAAGGGUGCGUAGGCGGUCUAUUAAGCGUGAGGUGAAAAGCCAGUGCUCAACAUUGGUCGUGCCUCCCGAACUGGUGGACUGGAAUGCGGAUGCCGUGGGAGGAAUGUGUGGUGUAGCGGUGAAAUGCAUAGAGAUCACACAGAACACCGAUUGCGAAGGCAUCUCACGAAUCCGCUAUUGACGCUGAGGCACGAAAGCGUGGGGAUCAAAC
rnacentral:rRNA from 1 species